rnacentral:lncRNA from 1 species
UCUUCGUUUGUUCUGUCAAUUUCUUGAAGUCUCGUACAUACUCGUCUAUCAAGCUCAACAAUGGUUUCAAACCUUAUCACUAUAGUUUUCUUCAAUCCUUUCCAAGAACAAUUCUUGGCUUUAGUCUUCCUGGAUCCAAUAGCCAGCACUUCCCUCCAUACUACUGUAUGCCCGAGGCACUUUUUCUUCCUCUAUCACCCCCUGGGUCUAAAAAAUUGUCUCUACCCUAGCAAUCCAUCCCAUAAGAUCAAACCCUUUGAGAGUGGGUAAUUCUACCCUUGUCCUGCAACUGGGUUGCCUUUCAUGGCAUUCACCCCCUCUCUCUCUCAUGUCCUCCUCUUGUCUCAUUUUGUUCUCGGAGGCUUGGCUGUCGUCCGACUGUUGGCCCUCCUGGUUGUUGGUUCGCCCACUCAACAUUUUCAUAAUUUCUUGCAAAUUUUGGCGUAUUACUGCAUAAUCUUGACAUAUUAUUGCAUACUCUUGUCGCAGCUCCACUGUCUGCACCUUCCUUCUAUCAACCGCAAUUUCCAUCGCCUCCCUUUGGCCCUCCACUACGUUUAGUCUUCCAUCCAAUCUUCCCUCCACCACUGGUCUCACUCCUCUCUAUCUAUCCGGUAGGUCAAACCAAUUGAUAGGUUCCUAAAUUGGGAACCUAAUCAAGAACUCUCUUCCUCACAGAAAAAGACGCAGAGAAAAAAAGAAAUUGAAUUUUAUUAAUAGUAAGAAUCAUGGAAACAGAGGCUUAACCCUCUUCACAUGUCAAUACUUGUCAACACAUCAAUUCAUCCAAAAGUCCCUUCUAACUAUACAAUUAAUCUAUUUAUACGAUCCUCUCCCUUCUACCCCAAUCCCCUUUCCCCUUAUUCUAUAUUGUAACACCUAACCCAGGGAAAAAAAAUGAGUACAAAUUUUAUAUCUGCUCUUGGUGUUCCGACUGCAUCUGUUGCAUUUGUUGCUCUGGUUGUUUUGGCUGUUGUUCUUGUUGCUGCUGCAGCUUCAAUUUUUUCUACGGUACUGUAUUAAUUCAGAUAUUGAGAUAUUAAAAAAAAUCAAAUAUACAUGAAACAAACCUUCAAACGGUUUUGUAUUUCG